CGAACGCUGGCGGCGUGCUUUAUACAUGCAAGUCGAACGAUGAAGUUCCUUCGGGAAUGGAUUAGUGGCGAACGGGUGAGGAACACGUGAGAAACCUGCCUUUCAUUCUGGGAUAACACCGGGAAACCGGUGCUAAAACCGGAUACUCCGUCUUGGCGGCAUCGCCGAGCCGGGAAAAAAUUUUGAUGAAAGAUGGUCUCGCGGCCUAUCAGCUAGUUGGUGAGGUAAUGGCUCACCAAGGCAACGACGGGUAGCCGGCCUGAGAGGGCGACCGGCCACACUGGGACUGAGACACGGCCCAGACUCCUACGGGAGGCAGCAGUAGGGAAUAUUGGGCAAUGGGCGAAAGCCUGACCCAGCGACGCCGCGUGAGGGAUGAAGGUCUUCGGAUUGUAAACCUCUUUCAGUAGGGAAGAAGCGAAAGUGACGGUACCUAAAGAAGAAGCACCGGCUAACUACGUGCCAGCAGCCGCGGUAAUCUGAUGGCGCGAGG
rnacentral:rRNA from 1 species